CGUGUAGGCGGUUGAGUCAGUCAGAUGUGAAAGCCUUCUGCUCAACAGAAGAAGUGCAUCUGAAACUGCUUAACUUGAGUACGGGAGAGGAAAGUGGAAUUCCCAGUGUAGAGGUGAAAUUCGUAGAUAUUGGGAGGAACACCAGUGGCGAAGGCGACUUUCUGGACCGAUACUGACGCUGAGACGCGAAAGCGUGGGGAGCAAACA
rnacentral:rRNA from 1 species